ACAGCAGUGUCUGCAUGAAGAUGACGCUCAAUACGUGUGGAAUGUGGGCAUGACCGUGGUUCAGGAGCUCACAGGGCUCGGCACGUGACUCCAGUCAGUCCAAGGGGUACUGACGUAGCUCAAACCAGUCCUUCAGAGUUGUUCCUGGGAAGCAAAGGGAAAGAAAGCUUCCUCUCCCCUUUAGGUCACGAUCUGUAAGGACAGAGACUUUGGGCUGCCAGCAGCCGUCCCUCCCUCCAAAUGAAGAGGCCCAUUUGUGGCCCAAGGGCCCAGUGGCAGCGGAAGGAGAGGAGCAGUGCUGACAGAUGGAGACUUGGAAGGAGGAAGAGACAGCCCCUGAAUCCAGCUGUUGUGAAAGUUGCCCUUAGAAGUACAAGCUGGAUGUUGCUGUGAUGAUGUGAUACCAGGAGCAGUGGCAGCUCUUUUAGGAUCAGGAAGUAAAAUGCUUUGGAAUGAGGAACAACAUGACAAGAACCGUGGAGUAAAGAAGAGCCACAAAACCAAGCUUGAGACCCGAUGCCUCCAGGCCUCCUGUUAGGUCAGUAAGUGUCCAUAUGAUUUAAGACAAUAUUAGGAUUUUCUCUCACUUGAGUGUCAUGCAUAGCAACAGAGGCCCCAUCCUAGCCAACGAGGUGCUUGGUAUACAGGGAUUCAUCUUGAUAGGGUUUGGAUCUGUGUCCCCACCCAAAUCUCAUCUUCAAUUUUAAUUCCUGAUGCUGGAGGGGGGACCUGGUGGGAGAUGACUGGGCCCUGGGGGCGGUUUCUAGUGGUUUAGUACCAUUCCCCUCGUGCUGUUCUGGUGAGUGAGUUCUCAUGAGAUCUGGCUGUUUAAAAGGGUGUGGUCCCUCCACCCCCCCACCUCUUCCUCCUGCUCUGCCCAUGUUGAUGUGCCUGCUUCCCCUUCUUCUUUCACCAUAAGUGAAAGCUCCCUGAGACCUCUGCAGCCACUCAGGGAGGAACAAUGCAGCCUGUAGAACCAUGAGCCAGUGAAACCUCUUUUCUUUAUCAAUAACACAGCCUCAGGUAUUUCUUUACAGCAAUGUGAGAACAGACUAAAACAGGUCACAACCUUUCAGUCCCAGAGUCCACAUUCAUGACCCCAACAGGGAAUGGAGGAAACUUCUCUCAUGCAUUCUCAGCAGAACCCAGCAGAAGGCAGGAGUCAGUCCCAACUGCAAAGAAUGAAGCAAACAGCCACAGCCCACAGGGACCUCACAGCUGGCCAAGUUCUCUGUAGAAAGUAAAAAGUUCCUCUUCAAAGUUUCCCUCCUCGUUAAAGAAUAAACCGUUAAGUGUUAGAAAUAACAGUUUCUUUUAAAGACUAACUU
rnacentral:lncRNA from 1 species